rnacentral:rRNA from 1 species
GCAGAUUAGGUAGUUGGUGGGAUAAAAGCUUACCAAGCCGACGAUCUGUAGCUGGUCUGAGAGGACGACCAGCCACACUGGGACUGAGACACGGCCCAGACUCCUACGGGAGGCAGCAGUGGGGAAUUUUGGACAAUGGGCGAAAGCCUGAUCCAGCAAUGCCGCGUGCAGGAUGAAGGCCUUCGGGUUGUAAACUGCUUUUGUACGGAACGAAAAAGCUUCUCCUAAUACGAGAGGCCCAUGACGGUACCGUAAGAAUAAGCACCGGCUAAUUACGUGCCAGCAGCCGCGGUAAUACGUAGGGUGCGAGCGUUAAUCGGAAUUACUGGGCGUAAAGCGUGCGCAGGCGGUUAUGUAAGACAGAUGUGAAAUCCCCGGGCUCAACCUGGGAACUGCAUUUGUGACUGCAUGGCUAGAGUACGGUAGAGGGGGAUGGAAUUCCGCGUGUAGCAGUGAAAUGCGUAGAUAUGCGGAGGAACACCGAUGGCGAAGGCAAUCCCCUGGACCUGUACUGACGCUCAUGCACGAAAGCGUGGGGAGCAAACAGGAUUAGAUACC